rnacentral:lncRNA from 1 species
GCGGCCGGGGCCGGACGCUUCUGCUGAGGCGCUUCUCCUGAGGCGCCGGGGCCGGACGCUUCUGCUGAGGCGCUAUUGCUGAGGCGCCGGGGCCGGAUGCUAUUGCUGAGGCGCCGGGGCCGGACGCUUCUGCUGAGGCGCCGGGGCCGGACGCUUCUGCUGAGGCGCUUCUCCUGAGGCUUCUGCUGAGGCGCCGGACGCUUCUCCUGAGGCUUCUGCUGAGGCGCCGGACGCUUCUGCUGAGGCGCCGGACGCUUCUGCUGAGGCUCCGGACGCUUCUGCUGAGGCGCCGGACGCUUCUGCUGAGGCGCCGGGGCCGGACUUCACACUUGACGGGGCAUUGUGGCCAGUAGAUUCUGCUGACGUGGCAUUGUGGCCAGUAGCUUCUGCUGACGUGGCAUUGUGGCCAGUAGCUUCUGCUGACGUGGCAUUGUGGCCAGUAGCUUCUGCUGACGUGGCAUUGUGGCCAGUAGCUUCUGCUGACGUGGCAUUGUGGCCAGUAGCUUCUGCUGACGUGGCAUUGUGGCCAGUAGCUUCUGCUGACGUGGCAUUGUGGCCAGUAGCUUUAGCAUUUGGACUAGGCACCACACUUGCUUUGGCAUAGGAUCCAGUUGGUUCAGGUCCAGUGUAGGCAUGAUGCCCAUUAGAAUUACCU